rnacentral:rRNA from 1 species
UACGAAGGGGGCUAGCGUUGCUCGGAAUCACUGGGCGUAAGGCGCACGUAGGCGGAUUGCUAAGUCAGGGGUGAAAUCCUGGAGCUCAACUCCAGAACUGCCUUUGAUACUGGCGACCUUGAGUCCGGGAGAGGUGAGUGGAACUGCGAGUGUAGAGGUGAAAUUCGUAGAUAUUCGCAAGAACACCAGUGGCGAAGGCGGCUCACUGGCCCGGUACUGACGCUGAGGUGCGAAAGCGUGGGGAGCAAACAGGG